rnacentral:siRNA from 1 species
CUAUUUGGCCGCAUAUAUUAG